rnacentral:rRNA from 1 species
GUCCACGCCCUAAACGAUGCUUACUCGUUGUAUGGAAUUCGUUUCAUGUGACCAAGCGAAAGCGAUAAGUAAGCCACCUGGGGAGUACGCCGGCAACGGUGAAACUCAAAGGAAUUGACGGGGUCCGCACAAGCGGUGGAGCAUGUGGUUUAAUUCGAUGAUACGCGAGGAACCUUACCUGGACUAGAAUGCGCGUGACGACUGGUGAAAGCCGGUUUCCCCGCAAGGGGCACAAAGCAAGGUGCUGCAUGGCUGUCGU